AACGAACGCUGGCGGCAGGCCUAACACAUGCAAGUCGAGCGAGGACUCCGGUCCUAGCGGCGGAGGGGUGAGUAACGCGUGGGAACGUGCCCGUUGCUUCGGAAUAGUUCUGGGAAACUGGGAGUAAUACCGGAUGAGCUCUUUGGGGGAAAGAUUUAUUGGGGAAGGAUCGGGCCGCGUUGGAUUCGGGGGUUGGGGGGGUAAUGGCCGACCAAGCCGAGGAUGCAUAGCUGGUUGGGGAGGAUGAUCAGCCACGCUGGGACUGAGGCACGGCCCAGACUCGUACGGGGGGGAGCAGUAGAGAAUCUUAGACGAGGGGGGAAGCCCUGAUCUCGCCAUGCCGCGUAAGAGGGGAAGGCCUUAGGGUUGUAAAGCUCUUUCAGCUGGAAAGAUAAUGACGGUACCAGCAGAAGAAGCCCCGGCUAACUCCGUG
rnacentral:rRNA from 1 species